UGAGACCAGUAGCAUCUCAGUCGCCUGGCUGGACGCGAUGCCCCAACUCCUGAACAUGAGGGCGGCCUUGGCUGUCAUUUUAUUGAUCUCCUUUCUCUGUAUAUCGGCGGCUCAAAUAUUGACGCAGUCUCAAUUAUCGAUCACUAAAGGUCCAAAGAAACCUGUCCACUUUUACUGUGAGGUUGGAGAUAUAGAUUUGGAAGAAGCCGUUAUACAUUGGUACCGGCAGAGGCCGGGGGAAGGGCUGCAGCGGCUAUUGUAUUUUAAGACUGCAUCCGAAUAUCAGAAAGAUGUGGCGGAGGAACGAUUCACUGCUAGUAAAAUAUCUGAGAAAAAAUCGUGCACUCUGCUCCUGACGAAUAUCCGAGCGGAUGAUGCUGGUACCUAUUACUGUGCUUAUUGGCAACACAGUGGCCGAGAGCGACGGGAAGCCAGUACAUAAACCCAA